UACGAAGGGUGCAAGCGUUACUCGGAAUUACUGGGCGUAAAGCGUGCGUAGGUGGUUCGUUAAGUCUGAUGUGAAAGCCCUGGGCUCAACCUGGGAAUGGCAUUGGAAACUGGCGACCUAGGGUGCGGUAGAGGGUAGUGGAAUUCCCGGUGUAGCAGUGAAAUGCGUAGAGAUCGGGAGGAACAUCCGUGGCGAAGGCGACUACCUGGACCAGCACUGACACUGAGGCACGAAAGCGUGGGGAGCAAACAGG
rnacentral:rRNA from 1 species